AUUGAACGCUGGCGGCAUGCCUUACACAUGCAAGUCGAACGGUAACAGGUCUUCGGAUGCUGACGAGUGGCGAACGGGUGAGUAAUACAUCGGAACGUGCCUAGUAGUGGGGGAUAACUACUCGAAAGAGUGGCUAAUACCGCAUGAGAUCUACGGAUGUAAGCAGGGGAUCGCAAGACCUUGUGCUACUAGAGCGGCCGAUGGCAGAUUAGGUAGUUGGUGGGAUAAAGCUUACCAAGCCGACGAACUGUAGCUGGUCUGAGAGGACGAGCAGCCACACUGGGACUGAGACACGGCCCAGACUCCUACGGGAGGCAGCAGUGGGGAAUUUUGGACAAUGGGCGCAAGCCUGAUCCAGCAAUGCCGCGUGCAGGAUGAAGGCCUUCGGGUUGUAAACUGCUUUUGUACGGAACGAAAAGCCCUGGGUUAAUACCCUGGGGUCAUGACGGUACCGUAAGAAUAAGCACCGGCUAACUACGUGCCAGCCGCCGCGGUAA
rnacentral:rRNA from 1 species